rnacentral:lncRNA from 1 species
CUGCACUCCAGCCUGGGCGACAGAGCGAGACUCCGUCUCAAAAAUAAAUAAAUAAAUAAAUAAAUAGAAAGAAAACACUACACUCCUUUCCAUCUUUAUCGCUGUCCUGCUAAUAGUCACAUGUAGUUCUGAGCAUUUACUACUUGCCAGGUACUGUUCUGAGGCUUUCUGUGUAUCAGUUCAUUUUAUUCUCACACAAACAAGUAUGUACUAUUAUCAAGCCAUUUUAUUUAUUAAUUUAUUUAUUUUCUGAGAUACAGCUUCACUCUUGUCUCCCAGGCUGGAGUGCAGUGUCAUGGUCUCGGCUCCCUGCAACCUCCGCCUCCCAGGUUCAAGAGAUUCUCCUGCCUCAGCCUCCGGAAUAGGUGAGAUUAUAGGCAUGUGCCACCACACCCGACUAAUUUUUGUAUUUUUAGUAGAGACGGGGUUUCACCAUGUUGGCCAGGCUGAUCUUGAACUCCUGACCUCAGGUGAUCCGCCAACCUUGGCCUCCCAAAGUGCUGGGAUUACAGGCGUGAGCCACCACGCCCAGCCACUGUUCUAAGGCUUUGUGUAUAAAUUCAUCUUAUUCUCACACAAAAAAGUAUGCACUAUGAUCAAGCCAUUUUAAGGGGAGGCUCAGGGUGCUACCUGGAUUAGGAAGGUGGAUGAUAGAUUAUCUGUUUGGAUUUGAACUUUUUUUUUUUUUUGAGACACUCUCACUCUAUUAACCAGGCUGGAGUGCAGUACCAUGAUCUCGGCUCACUGCAACCUCCGCUUCCCAGAUUCAAGCAAUUCUUGUGCCUCAGCCUCCCGAGUAGUUGGGAAGACAGGUGCACAUCACCAUGCUCUGCUAAUUUUUGUAUUUUUAGUCGAGACAGGGUUUCGCAUGUUCACCAGGCUGGUCUUGAACUCCUGGGCUCAAGUGAUCCACCCACCUCGGCCUCCCAAAGUGCUGGGAUUACAGGCGUGAGCCACCACGCCCAGCCUGAAUUUUUAGAAGUUUUUAUAUAGCUUUGAUACCAAUGGAUUAAAUUUUGACAGGGCAUUUGGCAUGACUCAACUACAGGAAAGAGUUAUCAAGGUGUUCUAAGCCCUCUCACUCCUACACCCACCCCCGCUGCAGGAAAGGGCCAAAGUCAGCUUUUUCUCUGUGACCCUGUGGCUGGAGUUAGGGCUGUCCAUAAAUAAUCCUUCCUUUCUCUCCUUCCAGGCACAUGAAAAGACUGCGCUUCCCGGCGACCCUUUGAAGUUCGGCGUAACCUGCUGACCCGCUCUGGCUGAGUGUGAGCUAAGAGGACAGGUGUCAUAUCAGGUCCAAGCCUCGAGAGUCACUGCCUGCUGUGCCAUCCUCUCUUCUUCCCGUGCCAAAGGACUGGCAGCACUCCAGUGAUGGCUGUGCCAUGGGCCCGGGGUACACGAGUGAUAUGGAGCGGAGCGCUCAGCUGGCCCACAAAGGAGAGAAAACUCUGCUGCCUGAGGACCACAGAGAAUCUGCAGCUGUGACUGCAGCACAGCCCAGCCUGCCCUGACCAACAUAGCUCCAAGAGAGCCAGACACGUGGAUCUCAGAGAAAUGGAUGAAUAGGCUGGGUGCGGUGGCUCACGCCUGUAAUCCCAGCAUUUUGGGAGGCUGAGGUGGGCAGAUCACCUGAGGUCAGGAGUUCAAGACCAGCCUGGCCAACAUGGUGAAACCCCAUCUCGACUAAAAAUACAAAAAUUAGCCGGGCGUGGUAGUGGGCACCUGUAAUCCCAGCUACUCGGGAGGCUGAGGCAGGAGAAUCACUUGAACCCAGGAGGCGGAGGUUGCAGUGAGCCGAGAACGUGACACUGUACUCCAGCCUGGGCAACAAGAGGGAAA